CCUACGGGAGGCUGCAGUGAGGAAUAUUGGUCAAUGGGCGCAAGCCUGAACCAGCCAUGCCGCGUGCAGGAUGACGGUCCUAUGGAUUGUAAACUGCUUUUGUACGAGAAGAAACACUCCUUCGAGAAGGAGCUUGACGGUAUCGUAAGAAUAAGGAUCGGCUAACUCCGUGCCAGCAGCCGCGGUAAUACGGAGGAUCCAAGCGUUAUCCGGAAUCAUUGGGUUUAAAGGGUCCGUAGGCGGUCAUAUAAGUCAGUGGUGAAAUCCCAUCGCUCAACGGUGGAACGGCCAUUGAUACUGUCUGACUUGAAUUAUUAGGAAGUAACUAGAAUAUGUAGUGUAGCGGUGAAAUGCUUAGAGAUUACAUGGAAUACCAAUUGCGAAGGCAGGUUACUACUAAUGGAUUGACGCUGAUGGACGAAAGCGUGGGUAGCGAACAGGAUUAGAUACCCUAGUAGUC
rnacentral:rRNA from 1 species